UACGUAGGUGGCGAGCGUUGUCCGGAUUUACUGGGCGUAAGAGCGCGCAGGCGGUCGUUCAAGUCGCGUGUGAAAGCCCCCCGGCUCAACUGGGGAGGGUCACGCGAUACUGAUCGACUCGAAGGCAGGAGAGGGAAGUGGAAUUCCCGGUGUAGUGGUGAAAUGCGUAGAUAUCGGGAGGAACACCAGUGGCGAAGGCGACUUCCUGGCCUGUUCUUGACGCUGAGGCGCGAAAGCUAGGGGAGCAAACGGGG
rnacentral:rRNA from 1 species